GGAAAUAAGUGGCCAAUCUUGUCAGAGCUGCAGAUGAGCACAAUGAAGAAAAUUUUCAUAUUUUUCUUGUUGUCAGGUCUUGGAUCUGCUGAAGUAAAAAUUGUUGUGAAAACCGAAAAGGAUGAUUAUGCUAUGGGAGACUCAGCAAAAUGUCAAUGUUUCAUAACAUCUGAUCAAGAAAUCCUGGAAAACUGCAUCUUUAAGUGGUUCAUUCUGGAUAACAAUAAUGCAACGGUAGAAAUUCUUGAGUUCAUGAAAUAUAAACAUCGUGUGAAGAUUGAAUCAAAACACACCUACAGUCUGAUGAUUUUGAAAGACCUAGCUAGAGAUGAUACCGAUACGAUGGUGUGUACUGCAACAUGCAUUGUAAAUGAUGAACUGGAAAGAAUUCCAAGCAAAACAACCACAAUCAAAUUUCAGGCUGUCACAGCCUCUGUGCAACCUUGGUUGAAAUACCUGUUAUUUGCCAUAAACUUAUUAAUAUUCAUUAUGGUCACAUUUAUUUGUGUUUCUAUUAUUUGUAAGCGAACUAAGCAUAGAAAAAUGCCUGUUAAAAAUUAAAUUGACAUAGUGCUGCUUUUUGCGUAGUAAUCUAUAAAACUAUAAAACUUCCUGCACAAAGUCUGUUGUAUUGUGUGUUUUUUUUAAGUGCAUAAUGUAAAAAGUUUUUUUAAAGUGCAUAACACCUUUAGAGUGCAUAAUGCACUCUAAAGGUGUAAAAGAAAUAUAACAGCAAGCAGCAUUUCUGCCCCAAUCA